AUUCAAGCUAUUAGACUGGGAAGAAUUACGAGUGAGGAUCAACGGUAAAUAUCUCAGCAACUUUAGGGUAGCAGAUGACAUUGCUCUGUUCAGCAACACUGCAGAUCAAACACAACAAGUG
rnacentral:lncRNA from 1 species